CUGCCAUCCACAUAAGAUGUGACUUUCCCCUCCUUGCCUUCUGCCAUGAUUGUGAGGCCUCCCUAGCCAUGUGGAACUGGUAUCUUCUUCCCAAAUCAGAACUGAGCUACCUGAUGGAAAAUGAGCAAGAUUAUUGUGUGGUGAAGAGAGACCUCUCCUAAAGUUCCUGUCCAGAUGCGCCUUCUCUCUGGAUCCACAUUUCUUCUCUCAUCACAGAUCUUUCACCUGUUGGUCGAAUCCAUGGAUGCGGAACCUGUGGAUACGGAGGGCCGACUGUAAUGAAUAUCCCAAAUGACCCAGCAAGAGGGACAUUUCACUUGCCGCCUCACAGCCAUUGUAUGUGAGUGUCUUGUGAUGAUGAUGAUGAUGAUGAUGAUGAUGAUGAUAAAAAUAGCCGUAAUGCAUUUCAUGAGUACUG